rnacentral:misc_RNA from 1 species
UAGCUGCGGUCAACAGGUGGC